AGCAGUAGCCGCGGGAAUACGUAGGGGGCGAGCGUUGUCCGAAGUUACUGGGCGUAAAGCGCGCGUAGGCGGCUUCUUAAGUCUGAGGUGAAAGGUUCAACGCUUAACGUGAACAGUGCCUUGGAUACUGGGGAGCUUGAGUAUGGGAGAGGGCAGUGGAAUGGCUGGUGUAGCGGUGAAAUGCGUAGAUAUCAGUCGGAACACCCAUGGCGAAGGCAGCUGCCUGGCCUAAUACUGACGCUGAGGUGCGAAAGCGUGGGGAGCGAACGGGAUUAGAUACCCCUGUAGUCCCUGUCUCUUAUA
rnacentral:rRNA from 1 species